rnacentral:rRNA from 1 species
AUACGUAGGGGGCGAGCGUUGUCCGGAAUGAUUGGGCGUAAAGGGCGCGUAGGCGGCCCGGUAAGUCUGGAGUGAAAGUCCUGUUUUUAAGAUGGGAAUUGCUUUGGAUACUGUCGGGCUUGAGUGCAGGAGAGGUAAGUGGAAUUCCCAGUGUAGCGGUGAAAUGCGUAGAGAUUGGGAGGAACACCAGUGGCGAAGGCGACUUACUGGACUGUAACUGACGCUGAGGCGCGAAAGUGUGGGGAGCAAACAGGAUUAGAUACCCUGGUAGUCCACGCCCUAAACGAUGAAUACUAGGUGUGGGGGGACUGACCCCUUCCGUGCCGGAGUAAACACAAUAAGUAUUCCACCUGGGGAGUACGACCGCAAGGUUGAAACUCAAAUGAAUUGGCGGGG